GUAGACGCGCGGAGUGUGAGCGAGCAGCGCAGAGAUUGAGCGGAACGGAGGGAAAGACGCCUGUAGUGCAAGGAUGCUCCUGAAUAUGUUUCCUUCACUCAUUCGGGAAGAGCGCGUCUAGAGCGGCGGAGACGUGACGGAAUCCUUUCCUGCGUUUUCUCAUGAACAUUUACAAUUUAUAGGCACGAGAAGGACAAGAGAUAAAGGUUUGAGGGCUUCAACUACAAUCAUCGUUCAUUCCUGUGGUCUCUCCCAUCAAUCACCGGUCAGACGGUCUGGUCUGUCUGGCUGCCCGUGCCAGUGCUGAGGGUGGUGCAUCAUUUCCAAGGAGCCAACUAUUCACCUUAAGAUCUCUGCAGUCCGUUCAGUACGG
ensembl:processed_transcript